CCUGGCCAUUUCCCUCCUGCUCUGGUCUUCAUUUGGAAGUCCCGGGGAUGUGAGUAGAAGGCAAGAGCCAAGCAUCAAAGGGCCUUGUACUCAGCCAACAGAGCAUCCUGCCUUUGUCCAAUCCAGCCCAGUGCAUCAGUCCCUGCAAACAACAGAAGAUGUGGCCCUGCGCCGCCUGUCCCUGACCCUGCCAGAGCACCACGGGCGGCUGAGGCCUCUCCGACUGAAACUGAGCUAGGAGAGCAGCAGACAGGAUUGCUUGCUCAGGGGAAGCUACGCCAUGCUGUGAGGUCACUCAAGAAACCCUGUGGUAAGGCCCAUGUGGACAGGAACUGAGGCCUCCCUCCAACACCC
rnacentral:lncRNA from 1 species